GCCUCUGAAACCUCUGCUCACAUCUAAUUAGGAUGAUCAUUGCAAAAGAAAACAAACACAUACAAAACAGGCAGCAAACAAAGCAAGGGUAAGCUAGAUUUCAAAAGGAAACAAGUUAACUAAGAGAUUAUCAUACUAAAAGAGGCAUUCAAGAAUUACAAGCAUGGAAGAACAAUUUAAUUAAGUUAUGAGUUAUGGUUUUAUUAAGUGGUGUUAGACUUAGACUCGUCCGGACUUGGAAUGAAUAUCGAGCUAUGGCGGGUUAUGCACUUGUGGUGGCCUCUACUGCUUUGCAAAGCCAAUUUUAUGGGUUCCACCCUACCACCACAAGGUUAGUCCGUUAUCACUUACCUUGGCCCAUAUAAAAUGGAGACAACCAAGACUAGGACCUCCUACUACUCUCACCACAUGAACUAAUCUUCUCUAAGUGAGAUUGAAUAGUCAUUAGAGCAUUAAGGAAAACCCCCAAGACUGAGCUACCUAUAUUCAUUCCAAUACUUAACAUGAUAUCACUCAUAUCUUGGCCCAUAUAAAAUGGAGACACCCAAGACUGAGCUUCCUAUAUUUAUUCUCAACAUUAACAAUGAUCUCACCUAGAGAUCUUGAUUUGAUUCUCAAAGCCCAUGAUUCAUACCACCCAUCUUGUUUCACUUCACCAACCUCAUCCAAUUAAUCAUAUAAUCUCAUUCAGAAGCAAAAUAAACAUAUAUAACUCAUACAUUACAUAUCUUCAUAGAAACAUCAUUUAUUAAUACAAAUAUCUUUAUAAUCUUAAAUUACCACUACUUAGGUAAUUCAAAUAGCUUGGAAACCCUCACCAAUGGCUCUGGAAGGGUCAAAAACCCCCAGAACGACCUAAAGAACGUCCAAAACGGACAUCCAGAACCCCCCAAACUAUCAAAAAUAAAAGCAACAGUAGAAAAGGGCGUCCAGCGCCCUUUUAGGGGCGCCCGAGCGCCCGGGCGCCAUAAUUCUGGCAAAAGCCGAAUCAAAGGGCGCCCAGCCCCCCUCAGGGGCGCCCAGGCGUGGAUUCUGCACAUUUUCUGCAAAUUUUGCAGAUUUGGAAGAACUCACACCCUUAAGUUUCGUUUUAGGCCUUUUGGUGAACUUCUAACUGUCCUAAUUCGAAGUAUAGAUGAAAUUGAACUUGUCUAAGUAACUUUAAGUCUUCCUAACAUCAUUCUCCAAUGAUUAUGCAAGGAUUUCUAAUUCAAAACCUCAUUUUCAUCAACCUAUGGACUCAAAACUAAAUUUACCAUUUGGAGAGUAUAUUUGAUCACUCUAACACUUCUAACAAGUCACUUUUGACUUAACUAAACCAUUCUAAGAGCCUAAUUCGACCUUUAACCCAUAAUUCUCGAAAUCACCCUCUCACUUCCUUUAAGACGACCUAAAAACAACAUAAUCCACCUAACUUGAACUCUAUUAACAUGUAUAACAAUUUUCAUCUCUUCUAAUACUCAAUCCAGUACCCUACCUUAUACAAUUCACUUCAUAUGCAUCCAUUCACAACUUUAUACAUUUUAGAAAACAAGGAUUUCAUACUCAUACACAAAAUCAUCUACUUUCAGCUCAAACACAAUACUUCACAAUAUACAACUUACACAUGCAUUAUUUUACAACGUCCACAGGUCACAAUUCAUGCAUAUACAUCACACAACACAGAAUCAUAACCCAGCUUCCCUUACCUGGGAAUUUCACAAUAUAGCCCAACUAAAUCCGGUUCAAGCUUGCACUUCACGGAAUUUCUAGAAAAACCUACAGACCUUAAAUUGGAAACAAGAAAUAACUUUUAGAACCUAAUUUAAGUCAGAAUUUGGAGGAAGGCACAAUCAACUACAUGCAACAGGGUUUUGUUACAUGAUUACAACCCUAAUAUUACGUGGGACAUGGAAGAGGACUUACCGGCAGAGAAAGGGAAAACUAAUCGGUUGAAAAUGGAGCUCUUUGAGUCGCAAUCACUGAGGUGCCAUCCAAUUGAAGAUUCUCUGGAGCAAUGAAGCUUGAGGUUAGAGAGAAUGCAGAGGAUGGGAGUUGGAUUUUUUUCUAGAGAGAGAAUGAAAGUGUGGAAAAUGGCUUAAAGUUUGUAAAAGUGGAGUUUUCUAAUGUCAAUGUGGUAGCUUACAG
rnacentral:lncRNA from 1 species